AUUGAACGCUGGCGGCAUGCCUAACACAUGCAAGUCGAACGGAGGUAGGGGCAACUCUACUUCAGUGGCGGACGGGUGAGGAAUGCGUCGGAAAUCUACCCUAUGGUGGGGGAUAACACAGGGAAACUUGUGCUAAUACCGCAUAAUGUCGAGAGACCAAAGCAGGGGACCGCAAGGCCUUGCGCGAUAGGAUGAGCCGACGCCCGAUUAGCUAGUUGGUAGGGUAAAGGCCUACCAAGGCGACGAUCGGUAGUUGGUCUGAGAGGAUGAUCAGCCACACUGGGACUGAGACACGGCCCAGACUCCUACGGGAGGCAGCAGUGGGGAAUAUUGGACAAUGGGCGCAAGCCUGAUCCAGCAAUGCCGCGUGUGUGAAGAAGGCCUGCGGGUUGUAAAGCACUUUUGUUCGGGAAGAAAUCAUGCUGGUUAAUACCUGGUAUGGAUGACGGUACCGAAGAAUAAGCACCGGCUAA
rnacentral:rRNA from 1 species